UGAGAUCAUGACCUGAGCCAAAGUUAGAUGCCUAACCGACUGAGCCACCCAGCCAGAAUGAAGAAACAGAGAUGUGCUAUGAGAUACAGAGGAGUGCUCCCAUAGAGUACCACACCACAACAUUCCUGGAAAAGAUCUGGAAGAGCCAUGAAAAUUCAGUCAGGGUGAUGAGCAUUCAGUGGUCAUUCCUGCAGGCAGCCUUUCCUAAACAGCAAUGGAUGGCUGAGUCCAAUUCAAGUCAGCCCCUUAAACCUUACCUGCUUUGAUAGGAGUUGGUUAACGACAACAAGAGGAAGGGAUUAGAGUGGAAGAUAAAGAAAGCUGUUGGCCUAGGACUCUCUGUAAUUCUGUACCCAGAAUAAAUGAGAAACAUAUUGGAAAAUA